AAAAAAAUAAGCUAAUUAAGCUAAUGGGUUCAUACCCCAUUUAUAAAGGUCUAAAUCCUUUUUUUUUUA
rnacentral:tRNA from 1 species